GCUUGUUGGUGAUGUUCCAUGGGAAAUGUUCUCUGGCUCGUGCCGAAGGCUGAGGAUCAUGAAGGGAUCAGAUGCUAUUGGACUUGCUCCACGGGUUAUGGAGAAGUGCAAGAACCGAAAGUAGCAUCUUCAGCGGAACUCAUCCAAAGCAGGUCGAUUAAAUUGCUGGACGGGCCAAUGUCAAAAGAAAUAGGUUUAUGGUUUAUGUCGUGAACUGUCUAAUAUUUGUAUCUUAUUGUUUACCGUCUCAGUGGACCUGAAAUUGUGAGCUAGCUUUCUAAGAUCCUAGGGACCUGAAGUUUAUUAGAUCCUCGCUUUAACUGUGUAAAUUAUUUGUUUGAUGUUUGCAACUGCUAUGGUUUUGG
rnacentral:misc_RNA from 1 species